UGAGAGCCAGUGUAGUGGUUUGAGCCUCGGACUAUGACUCGGGAGACCAGGGUUCGAAUCCCCUUUUCUCAC